UAGCGAUAGGCUUAACACAUGCAAGUCGAGGGGCUGCAUGAUCUUAGCUUGCUAAGGUUGAUGGCGACCGGCGCACGGGUGCGUAACGCGUAUGCAACUUGCCUUACAGAGGGGGAUAACCCGUUGAAAGACGGACUAAAACCGCAUACACUUGUAUUAUUGCAUGAUAUUACAAGGAAAUAUUUAUAGCUGUAAGAUAGGCAUGCGUCCCAUUAGCUGGUUGGUGAGGUAACGGCUCACCAAGGCGACGAUGGGUAGGGGAACUGAGAGGUUUAUCCCCCACACUGGUACUGAGACACGGACCAGACUCCUACGGGAGGCAGCAGUGAGGAAUAUUGGUCAAUGGGCGAUAGCCUGAACCAGCCAAGUCGCGUGAAGGAAGACAGUCCUAAGGAUUGUAAACUUCUUUUAUACGGGAAUAACGGGCGAUACGAGUAUUGCAUUGAAUGUACCGUAAGAAUAAGCAUCGGCUAACUCCGUGCCAGCAGCCGCGGUAAUACGGAGGAUGCGAGCGUUAUCCGGAUUUAUUGGGUUUAAAGGGUGCGUAGGUUGUUCGGUAAGUCAGCGGUGAAACCUGAGCGCUCAACGUUCAGCCUGCCGUUGAAGCUGCCGGGCUUGAGUUCAGUGGCGGCAGGCGGAAUUCGUGGUGUAGCGGUGAAAUGCAUAGAUAUCACGAGGAACUCCGAUUGCGAAGGCAGCUUGCCAUACUGCGACUGACACUGAAGCACGAAGGCGUGGGUAUCAAACAGGAUUAGAUACCCUGGUAGUCCACGCAGUAAACGAUGAUUACUAGGAGUUUGCGAUAUACCGUCAAGCUUCCACAGCGAAAGCGUUAAGUAAUCCACCUGGGGAGUACGCCGGCAACGGUGAAACUCAAAGGAAUUGACGGGGGCCCGCACAAGCGGAGGAACAUGUGGUUUAAUUCGAUGAUACGCGAGGAACCUUACCCGGGAUUGAAAUGUAGAUGACGGAUGGUGAAAACCGUCUUCCCUUCGGGGCUUCUAUGUAGGUGCUGCAUGGUUGUCGUCAGCUCGUGCCGUGAGGUGUCGGCUUAAGUGCCAUAACGAGCGCAACCCACAUCGGUAGUUGCUAACAGUUUUCGCUGAGGACUCUACCGAGACUGCCGUCGUAAGGCGUGAGGAAGGUGUGGAUGACGUCAAAUCAGCACGGCCCUUACAUCCGGGGCGACACACGUGUUACAAUGGGAGGGACAAAGGGCAGCUACCGGGCGACCGGAUGCGAAUCUCUAAACCCUUCCCCAGUUCGGAUCGGAGUCUGCAACUCGACUCCGUGAAGCUGGAUUCGCUAGUAAUCGCGCAUCAGCCAUGGCGCGGUGAAUACGUUCCCGGGCCUUGUACACACCGCCCGUCAAGCCAUGGGAGUCGGGGGUACCUGAAGGGCGUAACCGCAAGGGGCGCACUAGGGUAAUACCGC
rnacentral:rRNA from 1 species